rnacentral:rRNA from 1 species
CGAUUAGAGUUUGAUUCUGGCUCAGGAUGAACGCUAGCGGGAGGCUUAACACAUGCAAGUCGAGGGGUAAAUGGCAGCAAUGCUAUGAGACCGGCGGACGGGUGCGUAACGCGUAUGCAACAUACCUUGUGCAGGGGGAUAGCCCGUGGAAACGCGGAUUAAUAUUCCAUAGUCCAGCUAUAUCGCAUGGUAUAGUUGGUAAAGAUUUAUCGGCACAAGUUUGGCAUGCGUCUGAUUAGCUUGUUGGUAGGGUAACGGCCUACCAAGGCUACGAUCAGUAGGGGUUCUGAGAGGAUUAACCCCCACACUGGUACCGAGACACGGACCAGACUCCUACGGGAGGCAGCAGUGAGGAAUAUUGGUCAAUGGGCGGAAGCCUGAACCAGCCAUCCCGCGUGAAGGAAGACAGCCUUACGGGUUGUAAACUUCUUUUCUGUCAGAAGAAUAAGCUUGUCGAGACGAGUGAUGCCGGUAUGACAGGAAUAAGCAUCGGCUAACUCCGUGCCAGCAGCCGCGGUAAUACGGAGGAUGCAAGCGUUAUCCGGAUUUAUUGGGUUUAAAGGGUGCGCAGGUUGUUUGAUAAGUCAGUGGUGAAAGUCUGUCGCUUAACGGUAGGAUUGCCAUUGAUACUGUUGGACUUGAAUAUGGAUGAGGUAGGCGGAAUGUGUAGUGUAGCGGUGAAAUGCAUAGAUAUUACACAGAACACCGAUUGCGAAGGCAGCUUACUAAUCCAUCAUGACGCUGAGGCACGAA